rnacentral:siRNA from 1 species
ACUACUGUGAAUUGCCAAGAGUGU